AUCCAGCUUAUGAGUCCAAGAUAGGACGAAACUCACGUCCUGGAU
rnacentral:hammerhead_ribozyme from 1 species